AUUGAACGCUGGCGGCAUGCCUUACACAUGCAAGUCGAACGGUAACAGGUCUUCGGAUGCUGACGAGUGGCGAACGGGUGAGUAAUACAUCGGAACGUGCCUAGUAGUGGGGGAUAACUACUCGAAAGAGUGGCUAAUACCGCAUGAGAUUUACGGAUGAAAGCAGGGGAUCGCAAGACCUUGUGCUACUAGAGCGGCCGAUGGCAGAUUAGGUAGUUGGUGGGAUAAAAGCUGACCAAGCCGACGAUCUGUAGCUGGUCUGAGAGGACGAUCGGCCGCACUGGGAAGGAGACACGGCCUUGACUCCUAGGGGACGCAGCGGUGGGGGAGUUUGGGACAUGGGCGAAAGCCUGCUCCAGCGAGGCCGAGUGCAGGAUGAAGGCCUUCGGGUUGUAAACUGCUUUUGUACGGAACGAAAAGCCCUGGGUUAAUACGCUGGGGUCAUGACGGUACCGUAAGAAUAAGCACCGGCUAACUACGUGCCAGCAGCCGCCGCGG
rnacentral:rRNA from 1 species